GAAAGAAAAUUUAAUGAUAGUAUUUCGAAUAUUUUUCAUAUAUUCAUCGGAUAAGUCCAGCCGGUUAUGCCCGAACACGAGCGAAGAUAAAGCUGCAUUAGGUAUAACGCGCACUCCUCUCUCUUUCUCUCUCCCCCCCCCCCCCUCCCUCACUCUUUCUAUAUCACAGGGUCAGGAGGCAAAUAUUUGUUACGAUCGUGAAAGCGUGCGUGUGGUGUUCGGAUUUCUGUUUAUCUUCCGAGUGUCCUCGUAUAAUGCGAGAUAUUGGCUUUCGACUACCGCGCUUAUUUUCAUAGCCACACGCUUCGCCGUAAUGAGUAAUGUGGAGCGUAAUCUAAACCUUGGCCAGAGAUAAGGGAAUGCAGGAAAUCUGUGUGACUGAUCCAGUGUGUGUUAAUUCUUUUGUCGCAUGGUUACUCACGUGAUAAAAUUGUAACAAUGAAUAAUAAUGAUUUAUCAUCGACCGUUAGGGUUCGAGUUUAAUUAUUUAUAGUUCGCUGUUAAUGGAAUAUUAUUCAUGAGGAGAGAAGCUUCUCUCUCAAUACUUUACUUCUUGUAUGCAACAUGCUGAAUCGAAUUGCGAGUAUGAUUUUAUUCUCCAGCUUACUGCACAUUUUCAUGUAAAAACAUAUAAGAACAUAAGUAUAUCUAACUUAAUCCUUUACGGUCCACAGAUUUUUACGCAUUUACUGACUGAGAAAAAUGAUUUCAUUACAUCAACAAGAUGUACAUGAUUAACAUUAAUUAACCACUUUCCGAUCCAGGACUGCUUAACACGUUUUGGUUUUCUAAUUUUUAUUUCUCGCAUAUUUUGGCGCUUUCUAUAAACCUAGAAUAGAUAUAUGUGCAACUAGUGCGGUGAAUCGGCUAAUUGCUCGUAAGAGCGGAAUAUGUCCACCGCACAGACGGACAAUAACCGAUCCGCAUAUGUCACAUACAAUAUUUUUUGUUACCUGUGUGUCGAAAUAUGUUCUUUUAUGUGAAGUGACACAUGAGAAAAGAACCAUUUUUGAUGCACUGGUAGCGAAAAAAAACUUGUAGUUCUUCUAAGGCUGCGUUCCAAUAUACACUGUUACUUGCAAAAAUAUUUGCAAUUUUUUUCAAGACCACUUUUCUACCUUUCCUAAUUUUCUUGUAAUAAAAUGUCAGUGUAAAUACAAAUCUUUUUUUUACUAAUACUAUAAACAUCUUAUUUAGGCUUCGGCAUAUCGUAUAUAUUACACAAAAAUAAAAAUAUUAGUUAGAAUGAAAAUGACAAGGCAACAAAGUCAAGCCAUUGCACAGAUAAAAGUCUGAAUUAAAGACAUGAAAAUAAAGUGGCGAGCUAGGGUUAAGUUUUGAUGAAACGUAUUAUAAUUAUUAAAGUGAAGAAUGUAUUAAUUUCGCUUAUGUUUUAAUUAAUUUUUUUAUACGGAAAGAAGAAAAGUUUUCUAAAGUAUCUAAAAAUGUAAUUAUAGUUACAAGUUUAAAAAUCAUUUUGUUAGGCCAAAAUAAAUAUGUUGAAUUUUCAAAUUGGUUGCUGGAAUGUUAAAACUUUUUGCAGUUUAGAUACUUCAUCAAAAUUGAUUUUUUUUCCAUGUAGAGUUAUUAAUAUGAAUACAACUAUCUUUACACCCCAGACAGCACAUACGUUUAAAAAGAAAAUUUAAAACUUAGACGUCCUGUCAAGGUCCUAACGUGUCUAAAGAAUAUAGUGCAUGUCUAAAAGACGUUUUUUAGACAAGGCAUGUUAAGACCUGGGCAGACUCAAGUACGCGGUUCCGUCCCAUCAUUUAAUUUUACAAAUAUUAACCCGGGUAGGUGUUACAUAGACAUUACAGCAAAAUUAAAUAAAAAAUAGAUAAUACUCACAAAGAUAGUUGCGCUCAUUAAUAUUUCGCACUUACUUUUCACAUGCGCCUGCAUUUCAUAUAGAACAUAUUACGUACACUCUAUAUAAAACGCACAGGAAAGAAGCGUGAAUGACCGCUUCUGUAUCUGAAAUACCCGGGUUGUCGAAUAUUAACAGUCAUUUAUACUUUUAAUUGAAAGUAAGUAAAAUAGUGGUUUCCAGCUAUAAGAGUAAAAAAACCCCGUACUUUGUGCAAUUCGAAGAAAAAAUUGGUCAAAAUGAGAAAUUUUUAAGAAAUUUUAUUUUCUAUGUAACUUUUAUAAGUGCGUAACCAUGCAAAUAAUGAUAUGUAUUUCGGUGUCUAUUUACCUGUGAUUUUGUUUACGAGAAACAUACAACAGGAUUUCAGAGAUGAUAUGGGAAAGAAAGAAAGAAACGGAACCUGAAGGAACAUUAUAAUGCUGAGAGAAAAAGAGAACAAAAAGCGAGCACAAGUGGCGCCCACAUGGCGCGCAGUUGCUUCAGAAGAUCAGGUUUUUGUUCAUUUAAAAUGUCAGAAUUUAAGGAGUUCGAGCCCAACUGAGGUACGAUACAAUUCGGUGUACAAUACGAUAUAAUCUUUCCUUUUUAGACAACCUUUACUUCGGACAAAUUAUCAAACUUUAUGCCCACCGUAUAUAGGUGACCGGAACCGAGCGAGGCUAAAGGUCGAAAGAUACUGUGAAACUCGAGCUGUUCUCUUGAGAAAACGCGGGGGAGCGAUAAAAGUCUCUACGAGGUAUCGUAAUCAUUGACCGAAGGAAGACAAAUGAAUUUUCUUAGCGAGUGAAGAAAUAAAAAAAUAUGAAGCAAUGAAAAACAAUACUCUGAAUAUCUGUGGCCGCGUCUGUGAUAAUAUAAAUUUCUUCUUUGUAUAUGUAUAUAUCUAUAUACAUAUAAUAUAUAUAUCUAUAAUCUUAAAUAGUCUUGACUCCUAAUACACAUGUACACAUAGCCAUUACCAACAACACCAUUUUCUUUCUAAUUGCAGUUCUUUGGCUAUCUAAUGACUUUAUCAUAAAGAUAAUAAAUAUAUAGCAAGCAAUGAGGAGUAAGGAGUAAUAGAAAAGGACAAGUAGAAAUGUUCGACUGGUUUAUCUCUCUCUUUUCGAGCAAAACUUAAACAUAUUAUACGUGCACAAGUAGCUCCAGAAUUGAGGCAGGAUAAUACAUGACAUAAGAUAAAUUAACUAAAAAAACUCUAAAAUAAAAAGUAAUAUAUUUUAACAUAUUUAUAUAUUUUUAAGUAUAAUUUUAUUUAAAAAAGUAAAAUUCUAAAUAACUCUAUUUUAAGUAACUUUUUAAUAACGGGUUUACGCCGAGAUAUCACGGAUGACUGAGCGGCAGUCCCUGCUACGUGCUUUAGAUACGUUUAUGCGGGUUUCCAAUGUUUUUAAUGUAAAUCCAGUUAGCCUAUCUAUCCCUAUAUAUAUAUAUAAUUCACUAGCCCCAAUUUCCCUUACUAUAUACCUAAAUGUGAUACACGGGUCUUGUGACUACCGGUAAACAUUUACUAUUUCAAAUAAAAACACAUAAGAAACAUAACUACCUAUUUUAUAUUUCUAAAAAUCUAUUGAAUAAUAUGUGAGAAAUUAUUUAAGAAGAGACUUGAGUGAAAACUGCACAACAAAUGUUUUGUUCAGUGAAUUAUUAUUUUUCUCUUUACCAUGAUGAUGAUAACUAAUAAGUAUAAACACGUGUUAGAGAGGUAGUCUUCUUUAACAAUUUUUUCGGAAAUUAUAACUAAACGUUUCUUUCGGUUUUUUUUUGUGGCAUUUGUCUGUGUUUUUUCUUUUAAAAGAAAUCUUUAUUAUUCUUUUUUAUUUUCAUCUUUAUUGCCCUACGUCAAUGGUUUUAAUAUUUGAAUAUGUUUUCAAAAAGUAAUUAUUAGAGCUCUUAAAUAUGAAAAAAUAUUAAAAGUAUUGACGUAGCAGAGCAAUAAAGAUGAGAAUAGAAAAGGACAAUAAAGAUUUGUUAAAAAAAAAAAACCUAAUUCACCAGUGAAUCCAUAUUAUUACAGUUAUUACCACAGUCGUAUUUUUCCGUAUUUUGUGUUGAAAAAAAAAAAAAAAAAAAAAAUUCUGAAAAAUUGUGACCACAAACACAUAUUAGGCAUAAAGUAUCGAUCAACAUAAAGAAAGGAAAAAGUGGAAAGGUAGAAAGGCAAAGUCCCUCGUAUCAUUAAAUACAAAAGGCAUCAUAUCAUAUCAGAGACAAUACUUAUGCGCGUGUGCGUAAAACAUGAUGCGCGGUGCAAAUGUAUUUAGAGUUUUAAGAGGACUUUAAACCGUGUGCAUUUCAAUCGUCGAAGAACUUUAAACAACAUCGCGGAGCGAUUCAACUCCACGUGAAAACACACGGGGAAGGUUGUUACACCUAUCGCGCUGAUUCACGCGACUCAUUGUCCUGUCUCGCGGGAAAGGAAAACGAAAAGGAAAAAAAAAAUGGACAAGAAGAAAGAGACGGAGCUUCGAAAUCGGAGCAGUGGAAAGGAAAUAUAGGCGGACAAUGACGACGAUGGAGAUCGAGCGAGAAGAAAGAAAGCAGAAGAAAUACGCAGGAACGCGCGUACUAUCGUUCGUAGGUCCGUAUAGCCGUGUAGGAUACGGCGAAGAUAAAGAAACACAGUUGCGAAUCACGCUGCGGUGGCGCCUAAUGGGCGGCAACAAAAAGGGACACAGAGUGGUCACUGCGGCGGGGAAAAGAGGGGAAUUCCCUCCCCUCCAUCGCGCGACACCGUGCGUUGAGAGGUAGGGAGAAAGAGAGAGAGAGAGAGAGAGAGAUGCCCCCCACUUCGUGCCGCACCUACCGCUUCUUCUGGCUUCUCCUCCCAAAACAGCUCGGUGCGCUUCGAGCGCGCUCGGUGAUCUCCGCGUCGCGUCUGGACCGCGACGUGCCGGAGAUCAGGGCAGUGCCGUAGCAUCCGCGGGUACCCCGACGAACACACCGAGGGUAUAACGCACCGUUAAUUGAUACCGGUAUAUCGCAUUGCUGCUGGUACCGCGACGCCGAUAUUGGUUAAUCUGGUGGGAACGAUUGCGACUAACCCCUGUCUGUUGAGAUUAAUAUCAACUGGUACUAGUAGUAACUUGUGUGGGUCCUUUCUUUGCCUCUUGCAAUAAGUGUCAUGAUACAUCGGGGAAAUUUCUGUGAUCGCUUCUUGCCGCGCAGCGUGUUAUCGAUCGCAUCGCGCUUAAAUCGCGCGUCCAGUCGACCGACCAGCCCGUGUUAUUCAUCAAAACGCCCUCGACGAUGACGGGCGUCGUUAACAGAACGGGGAAGAUUAACAUCGUACCAAGAAAUUCAACACCUCGAGAGCAGCGUGAUUAAAGACGAGACGAGUCAAAGACGAGGAAAAGGGAGGACGUGAGGGAAAAGGCGGAGGAGAGAGGAGAGAGUAUAAGGGCGGGAGAAAGAGAGGAGGAGACGCUAUUGGCUCUAAUUGCCAGCACUGGCCGAAUAGAAGGCGAUUUGCUCUCUCUUCGUUCUCGUCUCGACUGCCACACACUCUGUAUCGCGCGAUCGCUGCUUCGACGCCUCUCGUUUAACAUACCGACACAAAAAAAUGUAGACGCAAGAGUAAGUGUCAUACAUUUUCGUUCGGCCGUUGCCUGAGCCGUCCGCGCUUGUCGGCGCAGCGAAUGCGUCUCGUUGAUCUUCCGUAGGCCAUCUUGCUCCGAAGCGAUGGCUUCGCAAUUGUAGGAUCGACGUGUAUGCACGCAGAAAACGAUCGCGCGAGAUUGCGUGCCAGUGCAGUCCAACGUAUAUAGUCGGCCGAAAUAUCUCAAAAAGUGAAAACCGAAAUUCAAGUUUAGAAUAUUAAUGCAGAAUCUAAAGUUUUAUAAAAUAGACAUUUGAUUUACCCGCUAAAAAAUAUUUUAUAUAAAAAUUUAUUUAUUUAUAUACGAAAUGCGUCCACACACGUAUUUAUACUAAUUUCUUUUUUGUAAAAUUUCUGUUUGAUAUAAAAAAAUAAUAGUCAUGUUGAAAAAACACAA